UACGUAGGGUGCGAGCGUUGUCCGGAAUUAUUGGGCGUAAAGAGCUUGUAGGUGGUUUGUCGCGUCUGCUGUGAAAAUCCGAGGCUCAACCUCGGACUUGCAGUGGGUACGGGCAGACUAGAGUGUGGUAGGGGGAGACUGGAAUUCCUGGUGUAGCGGUGGAAUGCGCAGAUAUCAGGAGGAACACCGAUGGCGAAGGC
rnacentral:rRNA from 1 species